rnacentral:rRNA from 1 species
CCCUUAGACGUUCUGGGCCGCACGCGCGCUACACUGACCAGUGCAACAAGCAUCCGUCCUUGGCCGACAGGCUCGGGCAAUCUUUGAACGCUGGUCGUGAUGGGGAUAGACUUUUGCAAUUUUUGGUCUUCAACGAGGAAUUCCUAGUAGACGCAAGUCAUCAACUUGCAUUGAUUACGUCCCUGCCCUUUGUACACACCGCCCGUCGCACCUACCGAUUGAAUGGUCCGGUGAAGCCUCCGGAUUGGCGCGCACCUCGGUGCCGCCGAGAAGUUGGCUAAACCUUACCAUUUAGAGGAAGGUGAAGUCGUAACA